rnacentral:misc_RNA from 2 species
CAGAGAACAUCGCCCUCACGGGUGACUCUCCAACCCUAUGUUAUUGUACCUUUGUUGCUUUGGCGAGCCGCUUCGGCCACCGGCUUACGCUGGUGUGUGCUCGCCAGAGGACCCCAAACUCUGAAUAUAAAUGUCGUCUGAGUACUAUAUAAUAGUUA